ACUCCCAGAAACACCAGCAAAUAUCUCUAAAGUCCAGAUAUUCAAAUCUGAGCAGGAAUGGAAAAAACAAUCGAGUGAAUUUUAGAAGCAUGUAAAUAGAUAUUCACCUAUAGACCAGAUACUACAGUAUCACCUUGAUGGAACAUUACUAUUGACAAAUAUAAAUCAAGGUCUGCCAAAAGCACAUCACAGGCAUUCUAGAAACAGAGAUCUGAAACAUAUUAAAGUGCCAUUUUUGUAUGCCACUCUUGAAGACUUUAAGACUAAUGGACAGCAAUGCAAGCAAAGAGGCCUCCGUAAUCAAGCAGGAGGAUAGAUCAUUUUAGGAGCCUGUGGGAUAUUAUGGGCCUUUUAUUCCCCUCUUGUCACAAGCACAAGCUCUCAAACAAAAAAAUAAAAAUAAAAGUGAGUGAGACAGCGGCAUGAUUUUGAGGAGCAAUUGUAUGCACUCUCUAGUACUAGAGAAACUCAAUUUUAAUUUAUAAUUUAUGUAUAUAUAGAAAUCAGAGAUAUCUGAGGCAGUCCUCUUGUAGCCAUAUGAAUAAUAUCCUUUAAAAAGUAAGCUUAUUCUCAGCAGAAAGCUUUAAAAUAUAUUCGAGGAGAAGAGACUUUGAGAUCAUCACAGAUCAUCCACCUUCAGUGUGAUAGGAAAAAAUAAAGUUACCUUCACAAACUAUCAUAUAAGUAUCUCACUUGCAAUCUUUUAAUUUGAUCGUUAUCUACACCUUGCUUUAUUGUUGGUCACACAGUCAGCCAGAUAUUUAGGCUAGAAUUGUCAUUUUUAUGAGUCCUUCUCAAGGACCUGGGAUAGGCAGAUAAAAUUUUGAUGGUGUGAAAGGAAUCACUGAAGAAUGUAAACUGUUUCAAUAAAGCUAUCUUUUGCAUUGACUGAUGAUGAUUUUGUCAGUUGCCAAUAGUAUUCAAGUGAUUAUUAUUGCUAUUUUAAAUUUACUGGCCACGCAACUCCAGUGCACUCUGGGUGUAAGUCUUAUUACAAUAAACAUUAUAUGGGGCUGCUAUUAAAAAUGUCUAGAAGUUCCAAUUGGUGCAAAAUACUGCUGCUAGAUUAUUCACCAGUGGAAGAUACAGGUACAGUACGAUAUCAACACUGAAAGAUUAGGCUGCUCUUGGGCACCAUUCCAGAUGUUGGCAAUAAUUUUAAAGCCCUAAACAGUUACUUAAGGACCUCCUUUUUCCUCAAAUGUUUCUUCAGGCAUUCAGAUUUGCAGAAGAGGCACUUUGGAAGAUACCCUUGCUGUCAUAGCUUCGGCUGUCUAAGAUACAGUAGAGGGUCUUCCCUUGUGCUGUCUUCCCUUGAGAAUUACAGCAGUCAUCUCAACACUCAUUUUUCCUAUAGAACAUUAACUAAAAUGCAGCUUUUUCACAAGGAGUUUAAUUUCUAAGUAAUGUUGCUGUUGAUUUUUAACUGUAUUUGAAUUUUGAUUUUGCAUUUUAUUGAUUGCGUCAGUUGUGAGUAUUUCAGUUGAAUAGAAAGACGAGAUAUAAAUCAAGUAAAUGAUUCUUGUAAGGAAAGAUCAGCAUAUGAAUAAAAUAAAGGCAUUCUGAGAUAUGCCAUAUGUUGUUAGAAAAUUGAACUCUGGAGAAUGGGAGAUGCUGUAUGGAUAAGAACCAUGGAAAGCUUAAGGACAAAGUAAUAAUUUAUAAAGAGAGCAAUACAUAAUGUACACUCACUUGCCUAUGUAUGUGCUCCACAGUGGAAUUAUUUAAAAUUUGGUACUGAAGAAGAAAUCCUGGCUCUGAGUAACUCAUGCAUGACCAUGCUUUUUUCCAACUGCAAAGAUACCAAUAACCUCAAAUAUGGAUGUCUUUAUUAAAAGCUGGAUCCAUAAACUCACACAUACAUAAGACAAUCUGUGGAAGAUAUUUUCUCCUACAGUAAUCAGCAGAAGCCAGAAGCAUCAUUUAGUCAUGUAGCUUGUGUACCAGUGAUAAUGUAUAGCCAUUCAAACUAACAUGUGUCCCCCAUGCAUUUGUCUAAUUUGCUUAGAAGGCAUCCAAUAUAUCCGGAGUUCCAAGAGAGGGAGUAAAAAAGUCAAUAUAGUAGCCAUAACCACAUGAGCCAAACUCUGACCCCCGCAAAGAUUCUUGGAGUCCGUAUUGGACACUACUAAUUAUUGAAAUUUUUCAGCAUUUUAAGAUGGAGUUUUGAAUGUCUAAAUCCUAAACAAAAUAGUCCCAGACUUUUCACUGACAUUUAUCAGAAGCAACCAAGUUUAAAAAUUGAUAUGCCUGGUAACCAUACAGGUUAUUCAUGCAUAUUGAUAAAGGAAGAGAUUCAAACUAUUAGCUUCAUAUGAUGGAAUGUGGGAAUUUUCUUAGAUGCUAGUAUUUGGCAGGACUGCAGAUAAAAUGAAAAGUAUCUUGCAGGUAGAAAAUACAACUAGCUUUCCCAUUUAUCUUUUGCUUUUUAAAACUAGUAAUGAAUCAGAUCACAGAUGCUAUAAAUAUAUGGCCAGGCAAUUUUUGAUUAAGCUCAAUGUACCAAAGGAAAAAAAAAUCCCUUGCACCAGCAUUCAGGAUGCUAGUAAUAAUCAAAUACAAGAAUCAAGGCAAUUCAUUCUCAGAUAUAUUUUAUAAAUCACCAUCCUGUCUUCCAUCUUUGGUUUGUUUUGACUGUUAAAGGAUAACUGAGAGAAUAACAUUCCUUAAGCUUCUAUCCUUAAGCAUUCCUGAUAAAAGGAAGACAAAUUGAGUAUUAUGGGAAUUGUGAUUUUAUGGGUAUGUGGGCUGGGGAGAGAGAUUUUUUUUUUUUGGGAGGGAAGGGGAAAAUCCACAUUGCUGGCCAACUUUCAACUUUAUACCUUGGCAGGCAGUAUGAUUGCAACCAUCAGAGGAAGAACAUGUAUGAAAACUCGAGAAAUAAUUUCCCAAGCAAAAUACUGUAUAUGCUUGAAUUGAGCCACAGAGCAGGAAAUGUAUUCAGUACUCUUGGAUUCCUCUGCUGAGAAAAAUGCCUGCAGUCCCAAGAGUUAUUAUGGAAACAGCUGCCAAGACAUCACCCUAAAGAGUCAAUUGCUGGAACUUUAGAUUACUGAGGAUGGUAAGGGGAACUGCUAUAAACCAUCUGUAACAGUGACCUAUUAUUACGACAUGAAGCUAAGAAAAUACAGUUUAAUAAGCUCACAUUCAGGCUUGACUCAGACAGAUAUAUAUGGUGAUUUUCUUUGAACAGAUGAGAUGUGAAGUAUCAGUGGAAUCUCUGAGAUGACUAGCUGGAAUUCAUUUGCUUCUAAAUGUGGACAAAACAACAGGGAAGAGAGCUAGAGUGAUCAUUGUCAUUGCCAAAUCUUGAUGUGUGUGAUAACCUACAUAAAAAAGCAGAAAUGGAUAUUUAAUCAACAAACAUCUCUUUUAAGAUUGCUGACCAGUACUUGGUUUUGUGAGAAGAUUACAAGGCUCAGACAAAUACACGAGUCCGCACGCACGCAUGCACACACACACACACACACACACACACACAUUGAUAAAUCAGUUGAAAUAAAAUUGAUCAAACACAAACACAAACCAGUGGUAGAAUAAUAAAAUAUACAAUACUUAAAAGUAAAUAAAAUUUAAAACUAUUUUGGGAAUAAAAUAUUACGUGAUUAAUGAAUGAAGUACUUUAUUAUUGCAAUAGAAACUACAUAGAAAGGUCUUGAUAAACUACUGAAAUGUAAACAUUUUAGGAUGUGAUUCUGUGAUCCAUUCAUAAAUCACUUUGUGAUAGUAAAGUCAGAACCAAUAUUUAAAUUUCAUGCAAUCAGUAUAAUUUACUACAUCCAAUAAUCCUUAUUUUACCAAAUAUUGAGUUUACUAAAUAUAACAAGGUUGUGGUUUGUUCUCUAGUAGAAUAAAACUUGCUUCUUGCUACAUGAUUUUAAACUAUAUCUGCAAACAGAUAUUUUAACUUUUAAUUCAGAGUGAUCAGGAGUUUGUACUCUCUGAGUUCUACAAAUAUCCCAAUGCAAUUAACAGUCCUGAAGGAUAUGAACCUGGUAUCUAAUACACACUCAGAAAAAUUGAAAUAAAAAUCCAGUGUCUUAUUUCUUCCAACCCUAUUGAGCCUCUGCUUUGAUGGCCUUGAAGAAAAUAAUAGUAAGGAAAUAAUAAUUGGCAGCUUUAUUUGGAACAGCUUAUAAUUUGCGCCAAUACCUUUAACACCAUCAAACAAUAAUAUCUGCCUAUCCCAGGUACCUUGGGAAGGUGGGUAAAAGUGCCAAAUCCAGUCUAAACAUUUGGAUGACUGUGUGACAAACCAUAAUAACCAUGAUAAUAAAAGUAAUAGAAAAUGAAGUACUUAAAAUGGUCUGUGACAUCAAUUCAAACCAACAGCACCUGCCACAUAACACCCCAGACUUAACAAUUGUUGAUAAGAAAAAUAAAAAAGUCUGGAUGGUAGAUGUGGCAGGACUUGGAGACAGCAGAAUAGAAAAGAAAGAACUGGAGAAGAUAAUACAAAGACCUGCAAGUAGAAAUAGAAUGACUGUGGCAAAAGAAAGCAAAGGUAGUACCAAUACUAAGAGCUGCCUUGAGUGCAUUCCCAAAACAAUUGGAGCACCACUUGAACACCAUUGGCAUUAAUAAAAAUCACCAUCAGUCAAUUGCAAAAGACAGCUUUGUUUGGAAUAACUUACACCGUGCCAUGAUAUCUUUAAGCCCAUCAAACAUCCACAUCUUCGGUCCUUGGGAAGGACUCGAGAGGUGGACAAAAAUGCCACAUUAUAUAUUGUGUAUGUGUCUCUCUGUGUGAGUGAGUGUAUGUGUAUACACAUAUAUUAUACAUAUAUAUUCCUCAUAAAAGUCAAAAAGGAAAAGAUGGUACAUUUAUUAGUGUAUAAAUACACAGUUGAAGAAAGGGAGAAAAACAUCAACUCUCAAUGUACAUUUUGUUAGAUGAAAUAUUAGUGGAUCAAUCUCAUUUUCUGAGUCUGAUAUUACUGUCAGCAGUUCUGCUCCUUUAUUUUUCAGUAUUUUAUGCUUUUCAUGGGCUUUUGAAAAGUGCAACUAUAAGUUUUGUCUAUAUUGAACCAAACUUUUCUAUCAUUUUACAUGCUCAUUUAUUUCUUGAUUUCAUUUGAACCAUUUGUAACCAUUCUUGGUAUCAUUUACACCAGUCUUUUUCAACCUCAACAACUUUAAGAGGUAUGGAUUUCAAUUCCCAGAAUUCCAAUGCUGGCUGUUGUUUGACCAAGGCCAGACACAUGGUUCCAUAUUAGAGAACACGACUUCCAGGUAUUGUAGGUUCAGUUCAAAGUUGUGUAUGGUGGUUCCGCACAUUUUAUUUAGAUUAAAUUAGAUUAAACUAAUUUUGAAGUAGAAAGGCUCACUUAAUAUUUUUUUUUACAGAAAUAGCUGUAUUCAAUGUUGUAGUUUUAAAUAUUUUAUUGCAAUGUAAUGGGAGAAACUUCAACAUCAAAACCAUGGAAGUUUGGAUUUUUUACUUCCAUCAUGUACUUUAUUUUAGUGGGAGGAAUUAAUUGUCAAAACACAAAAAAUAUAAUAUGCCAUAACCUAUUUUUUUUAAAAAUACAGUUGUAGGCACUACAAGAAAGAGUAAAGGAAUCUUAUUCUGAUAUUGUAUGAAAAGUCUUAUCUGUACAUUUUGUUAUCCUUAAAGAAUAUUUGUAUAUCUGAUUUUGUAAGAGGUCAUAUUUUGGAUGUAGAGAUACUUUGUCACAGUAAAAUGUGAUAUAUUAUACAUAGCAUCAGUAAUGGGUGAAAGUAAAUACAUUUCUGUAAAAAAACAUUUGUCUUCUUUCAGAUUUUACAAACAUUAUACAUCUUUGCUACAGAAUAUCAUAUCUUCAUGUAAAUCUUGGUGAUAUAUGAAUGAACAAAUAACAGUUUUUGUCACCUCUCUAGACUGAAGGCAAAACAAAAAGCAAUAGAUGGAAACUAA